UACCCUUGACAUGUCCGAGAGCUCGCUGAGAGGCGAGUGUGCCCGAAAGGGAAUCGGAACACAGGUGCUGCAUGGCUGUCGUCAGCUCGUGUCGUGAGAUGUUGGGUUAAGUCCCGCAACGAGCGCAACCCUUGUCAUUAGUUGCUACAUUCAGUUGGGCACUCUAAUGAGACUGCCGGUGACAAACCGGAGGAAGGUGGGGAUGACGUCAAGUCCUCAUGGCCCUUAUGGGUAGGGCUUCACACGUAAUACAAUGGCGCGUACAGAGGGCUGCUAAGCCGCGAGGUAGAGCCAAUCCCUUAAAGCGCGUCGUAGUCCGGAUUGCAGUCUGCAACUCGACUGCAUGAAGUCGGAAUCGCUAGUAAUCGCGGAUCAGCAUGUCGCGGUGAAUACGUUCCCGGGUC
rnacentral:rRNA from 1 species